rnacentral:lncRNA from 1 species
UCUUAUAUCUAUGCCUAACAUCUGCAUGCGAGGCACCCCUAACCCUUUUUUAUCAUUGUAAUUAACUUUCAAAAGUUGCAUAUAGACUAAUAUGAUGUGCUGUCUAAACUAGGUAGACACCUCUGUCGGACCCAAUAUUUGAAGCCAGAUGUGUGGAGAGGUUAAUCACUCCCCUCACCGGCAGUGGAUGCAGCCACACUGCUGCCUGCAAAACAUCUUUAUUGCUUCAACGCAAGGAAGGCUCUAGAAGCAUCUAGUUUGUCUAUGAUUGCUUCUCAUAUAUUUUUAUGCAAGGAAGGCUCUAGAAGCAUUUGGUUUGUCCAUGCAGAUGAUCUUAAUUACCUGGUUAUCAAUUAGCUUAAGCAAAGCUAAUUUCAUGCUUGCCACCCUCACACAACAUCGGGAUGCGUUUUGCACGAGAAGCAACGGCAAGGUUUGCCUUCUACAGCAGUCUAGUUUCUUGUUACCAUUGUCUAAUAAUCAAUACCAUCUUAAGCAUCAUGCGAUAGUUGAAGCAGGAAACAUGCACAUGCGCUCACCUUCCGGUUGCAUUUCAUCACAUAAAAGUGCCACAAACUAGCAAUACAACGAUAGGUAGCUUUAUGUGAAUUCGCAUUAAUAAUCCAUGCCACACAUACAAUAGCGAUAGUAGAUAGAAAGUUUAUCAUAUAGUAGUAGCUUGAGUAACUUCCAUGUUGUUUGGUUAAUGCUGCCUAUGAUAGUUGAUGAUCUUCUUGUUUGGUCUAGACGUACCUUCAGUUCUGUAAACAUAUUAAAUUAUCAGAGCAUGCACAACAAAUCCAAGUUAUGAUAAACAACUGACACAUCCUGAUUCUGGAUUAGGAACUCACAAAUUUGAAAAUUGCUUUAUCUUAUUUGAUCAAGGAUAGGUUGUUGUUGUUGUAACGAUGUUCUUAUAUCUAUGCCUAACAUCUGCAUGCGAGGCACCCCUAACCCUUUUUUAUUAUUGUAAUUAACUUUCAAAAGUUGCAUAUAGACUUAUAUGAUGUGCUGUCUAAACUAGGUAGGCACCUCUGUCGGACCCAAUAUUUGAAGCCAGAUGUGUGGAGAGGUUAAUCACUCCCCUCACCGGCAGUGGAUGCAGCCACACUGCUGCCUGCAAAACAUCUUUAUUGCUUCAACGCAAGGAAGGCUCUAGAAGCAUUUGGUUUGUCCAUGCAGAUGAUCUUAGUUACCUGGUUAUCAAUUAGCUUAAGCAAAGCUAAUCUCAGGCUUGCCACCCUCACACAACAUCGGGAUGCGUUUUGCACGAGAAGCAACGGCAAGGUUUGCCUUCUACAGCAGUCUAGUUUCUUGUUACCAUUGUCUAAUAAUCAAUACCAUCUUAAGCAUCAUGCGAUAGUUGAAGCAGGAAACAUGCACAUGCGCUCACCUUCCGGUUGCAUUUCAUCACAUAAAAGUGCCACAAACUAGCAAUACAACGAUAGGUAGCUUUAUGUGAAUUCGCAUUAAUAAUCCAUGCCACACAUACAAUAGCGAUAGUAGAUAGAAAGUUUAUCAUAUAGUAGUAGCUUGAGUAACUUCCAUGUUGUUUGGUUAAUGCUGCCUAUGAUUGUUGAUGAUCUUCUUGUUUGGUCUAGACGUACCUUCAGUUCUGUAAACAUAUUAAAUUAUCAGAGCAUGCACAGCAAAUCCAAGUUGAAAAUUAAUUACAAUGAUAAACAACUGACACAUCCUGAUUCUGGAUUAGGAACUCGCAAAUUUGAAAAUUGCUUUAUCUUAUUUGAUCAAGGAUAGGUUGUUGUUGUUGUAACGAUGUUCUUAUAUCUAUGCCUAACAUCUGCAUGCGAGGCACCCCUAACCCUUUUUUAUUAUUGUAAUUAACUUUCAAAAGUUGCAUAUAGACUAAUAUGAUGUGCUGUCUAAACUAGGUAGGCACCUCUGUCGGACCCAAUAUUUGAAGCCAGAUGUGUGGAGAGGUUAAUCACUCCCCUCACCGGCAGUGGAUGCAGCCACACUGCUGCCUGCAAAACAUCUUUAUUGCUUCAACGCAAGGAAGGCUCUAGAAGCAUUUGGUUUGUCCAUGCAGAUGAUCUUAGUUACCUGGUUAUCAAUUAGCUUAAGCAAAGCUAAUCUCAGGCUUGCCACCCUCACACAACAUCGGGAUGCGUUUUGCACGAGAAGCAACGGCAAGGUUUGCCUUCUACAGCAGUCUAGUUUCUUGUUACCAUUGUCUAAUAAUCAAUACCAUCUUAAGCAUCAUGCGAUAGUUGAAGCAGGAAACAUGCACAUGCGCUCACCUUCCGGUUGCAUUUCAUCACAUAAAAGUGCCACAAACUAGCAAUACAACGAUAGGUAGCUUUAUGUGAAUUCGCAUUAAUAAUCCAUGCCACACAUACAAUAGCGAUAGUAGAUAGAAAGUUUAUCAUAUAGUAGUAGCUUGAGUAACUUCCAUGUUGUUUGGUUAAUGCUGCCUAUGAUUGUUGAUGAUCUUCUUGUUUGGUCUAGACGUACCUUCAGUUCUGUAAACAUAUUAAAUUAUCAGAGCAUGCACAGCAAAUCCAAGUUGAAAAUUAAUUACAAUGAUAAACAACUGACACAUCCUGAUUCUGGAUUAGGAACUCGCAAAUUUGAAAAUUGCUUUAUCUUAUUUGAUCAAGGAUAGGUUGUUGUUGUUGUAACGAUGUUCUUAUAUCUAUGCCUAACAUCUGCAUGCGAGGCACCCCUAACCCUUUUUUAUCAUUGUAAUUAACUUUCAAAAGUUGCAUAUAGACUAAUAUGAUGUGCUGUCUAAACUAGGUAGGCACCUCUGUCGGACCCAAUAUUUGAAGCCAGAUGUGUGGAGAGGUUAAUCACUCCCCUCACCGGCAGUGGAUGCAGCCACACUGCUGCCUGCAAAACAUCUUUAUUGCUUCAACACAAGGAAGGCUCUAGAAGCAUCUAGUUUGUCUAUGAUUGCUUCUCAUAUAUUUUUAUGCAAGGAAGGCUCUAGAAGCAUUUGGUUUGUCCAUGCAGAUGAUCUUAAUUACCUGGUUAUCAAUUAGCUUAAGCAAAGCUAAUUUCAUGCUUGCCACCCUCACACAACAUCGGGAUGCGUUUUGCACGAGAAGCAACGGCAAGGUUUGCCUUCUACAGCAGUCUAGUUUCUUGUUACCAUUGUCUAAUAAUCAAUACCAUCUUAAGCAUCAUGCGAUAGUUGAAGCAGGAAACAUGCACAUGCGCUCACCUUCCGGUUGCAUUUCAUCACAUAAAAGUGCCACAAACUAGCAAUACAACGAUAGGU